rnacentral:rRNA from 1 species
UACGGGGGGAGCAAGCGUUGUUCGGAUUUACUGGGCGUAAAGGGCGCGUAGGCGGUAGCACAAGUCACUUGUGAAAUCUCCGGGCUUAACCCGGAGCGGCCAAGUGAUACUGUCGUGCUAGAGUGCGGAAGGGGCUACUGGAAUUCUCGGUGUAGCGGUGAAAUGCGUAGAUAUCGAGAGGAACACCUGCGGCGAAGGCGGGUAGCUGGGCCGACACUGACGCUGAGGCGCGAAAGCCAGGGGAGCGAACGGG